UGGUAAACAAAGCUUAUAACAAGUUACUUGGCAGAAGAGAAAAUACAUUGAACCGCUCAGGUCUUGAUUGCAAAUUGCUUAUGCAGUUUGUAGCAGGAGCGAAGGGGAAUUCUUUUCGGACAUUUAAUUCUGCGAAUAAUAAUAAUGGAUUCGAAGAAAUUGAUCGUACCGUGUUUGAUCUUUGCGAUCAUUGUCCUCGCUGUUGGCAAUGUUUUGCAAAUUUUGUAUUCAAAGAAUAUCGAACUGAGACUGGAAAACCAUUUGGAAAAAUUUGCUAAAUUCGAAGUCAGCUGUAAGGAUAUUCUCGCCAAGCUAUUAAGAGACAAGGAUAUUCUCGCCAAGCAUAAGGGUGAAGCAUUUUCAUCAGUUGGCAGAAAUCUCCACAAUACCAAAGAUCACAAGAGCCUGCAAAAUAACAAACAUGAAGGGUUCGAAGUUCGCAAGCCCCGCAAAUUGUCGUUAUCGAAUGUACUCCAUGAAGAACUGAACCAGAAAGUAUCAUUACCAAAAGGUCCUCCGGAUGUUGCUGUUGCAAACAAUGGGAUUAUCUUUCCUCAACUCAAAGGAACUACUGAUCCUGUUUAUGGUAAUGAUGAGAACAAGGAAGAUCAUAACAUUGUAAAAAGGGCAGCAUCAAAGAACAGAAAUGGUUGCAAAAGGAAAAAACGCUGUAAAAGAAUGCAGAAAGGUGAAAGGGGGCCGAAGGGUGAAAUGGGGGAUCCUGGAGUCAGAGGAAAAGCAGGUCCACAAGGAAACGUUGGCCCACGAGGUCCAAAUGGAGAGAAAGGUGACCGAGGUGCUAGCGGUAAAAUAGGUGGCAAAGGAGAAAAAGGUGACAAGGGUGAAAAAGGUGAUAGCGGAAAAUCCCCGACGUCUGAACUGAUUCACCUGGUCGGAGUUGGAGUAGCUGGCAGUCCGACACUAGAUUUGACAACUGCAAAAACAAAAGAAGAUGCUAGAUUCAAGAUUUGGAAGACGGAAGCUCAUCAUGGAGAAAUACGAUACGAUAAUGGAUACAUAAAAAUCAGGGUCACUGGAUAUUACUAUGUUUAUUGUCAGAUGUACUACGAGUCCAAGGGGAAAAUUGGUCAACACCUGGUAAUGAGCAAUAAUAACGCUCUUAUGAUGGGCCUCACGACAUGGACAGCUCCCAGGCAUGAUAAAUCAACGAAGUAUGUCGGUGGCGUUUUCAGGCUGCUCAGUGGUGAUAGAGUAUGGGUUACAAGAUGGCCCUUCCUCAGGCAGUCUUAUAUAGUUAAGUCAGAUGGCUCUUAUUUUGGCGUUUAUUUACUGCAACAAAUCUAAACCACGUGUUGCCAUAUUCAAAUACAAAAGGCUAUUUGUAGUUGAUGCCAAAAGUGAUUGAUAAUAUUUUCUGAUUAAACAAGAUAAUACUCUUCUAAUUCAAUGAUAUCAUGAUUGAUAGUAUACUUUUGUUAUAAAAUUGGAAGAGAAAUAUACAGUGAUCCUCUACUGCGUAGUGUGUGAUUUAGAGAACUUGGCAUGGCAAUUGUAAUGAUGCAUCGCUUGCUACCUAUCGUCUGUUUCAAGCUCUUGAUGCAAGUGCAGACUGAAAAGGCUGUUUCAUCUGCUUUGAAUUAGUGAAUAUACUUUCUAACAGAAAGCCUGCUACGCGGGCUGACCAAAUCGCGUAUUAGCCUUGGAAAGGCAAGAACAAUGCUAACAUUAUUGUCGCACUCCUACGCAAGAUAUACUCGCAAACCUGUGAAAGUCGCUAGGAAGGGGGAGCCUUAAGCAUUUUUCCCCCUAAGGCUCCCCCUUGUAAUUAUUUUUUAUAGUAAAUUUUUUAAUUUUCUGUGUUGAAAAUGAACAGAUCAAUCAUUAUGUAGUUCUUGGUAAUUGAAAUGUUUAAAACUGCUGGAUUUUGAUAUUGUGGAAACUAAGACGAGUAAUGUAAUUAAUUUUGUUGCAAUUUUAUACAUAAGGAGUAGUGACACUGUUCAGGUAAAUAUUUGCUACAAAUUAGCCCAGUGUCAAACAAUUACUCUGAUGCGUUAAAUUCUUCAAGUUCUGACGUUAUAAUUGUGUAAGUUGUCUUACUGCUGAAUUUAACAUCAAUAGCGUAUCUCCGAAAUUCUGCCUUUUUCUGGCCAUUUUCUGACGCAAAAUAGGGGACAAGAAUUUUCUGACCCUUAUCAGGGAAGAGACAGAACGGAUCCUGCCCGAGUCGCUCAAAAAAUUGCUUACAGAAUCUUCUAAAGUUGCCAAAAGGCUGCUCAUCUUCGAGGGGCAAAUCACUGAAUACAUAUCGUACACUUUGCUGAAAAGCAAGUAAAAGUCUUAACAAUAUCUCAAAAAUUCCUUAUAAAUGUCAAAAAUACACAGAAAGUUUGAAAAAUCUGUAGAAUCGUUUUUAAAAUCUAAAGAAAUCUUCGAAAAAUCUCUAAAUCGUUGAAAGCUCAAAUUCCUUAAAGAUCUUAUAAUAUGGGUAAAGGAUCGAAUAGCAGUGAAAUUACAUUGAGUUUUUUUUAAAAAAGGGUUGUUAAAUCCCCUUGCUCCACCGUUAGGUCAAUAUUGCCCAUAAUGAAUUUUCUUAGAUGCUUCAGGUAAGCAAUCCUCAUUGUGCAGGGCCGUCGGAAGGUCUUACGGUGGAGGGGGCAACGCAAAAAGGGCACUUAUCAAUUUUAAAACUUCAAAAUAACUAAAAUUUAAGCAAAAAAGGAAAAAUAUAUUGAAUGGUCUGCGUGUUGCUACAGAAAUCUUAGAGGAAUGUAGUUUUUAAAAGCUUUGCUGUUAAAUACACAAAAUGUAUUUCGACGCUUUCCUGCAGAAUUCAAUUGCAACGUCAAGAAGACAAAGUUAGCGAUAUUCUUCUCUGUUUGUAUUCAAGAUCAUGGUGUGAUUAUGUAAUUCUUGGAUAAUCGUUGCUCGAAUAUAUGUUUUUAUUCUUCUCAAAGUCGAGCAAAAACUUCCACUAAUGGCAUUUGUAGCAGGUACAACAAAAAGGAACUUGGCUAAAGUUACAAUUUUCUGGAAAAUAAUUGUGAGGCAGCGACAAGGCACGAAGAUGUUUUGCAUUUUAUUUUAUUUCAUUUAAUUUCAUUUCAAAUGUAUUUUCAGCAUUAGCUUAUGUGCAUAGCAACAAAAAAUGCACGAAGCUUAAUUGGGUAUAAUUACAAUAAGGUUACAGAAAAAUGCGCAUCAAUAAAUUUCAGAUUAACAAUGCUGAAGAGGAUAUACAAAAAUAACUCCUCAGAGUUUUCGAGCUGCAUGCCCUUGGUAAGAUGUGGUUGCUAAAAUAAGAUUGAAAUAUACUAAUCGAAGAGGCAUAUGCAUAUUAAUGAACAAAGUAUAAAUUUUUUAAUAAAUCACAAUAAAAAAGAAAAAAAACAUGAAGUGUGGGCAGAGGAAAGAGUAGAAAGAAUUGAAGUAAAAACAGAAAGAUUAGUAGAGGUGUUACCGAAUAGGUCUGUAGUCUUGAAAUAAAAAUUUCUUACGAUGCUUACAGAAAGACUUUCUUGUUCUGGAUUUCUAAUGUAAGGAGGGAUGUCAUUCCAUGUUAUUAACUCCUAGAUUUGUAACAAAGUUACUUUUGAAAUGUUUUUUAGCUUUUUAGAAAAAAGAAGUUUCCAUGUGCUGAUUCCCGGGGUUUUGUAGGAAUCUGUACAGUCUAAUUGUUGAAAGGCAAAUGUUGAAAGGAAUUUAUGAGACAAAUUUAUAAUGUGAGGAGCAAUAAAUGCAUUGUUUGUAUUGAGAAGGACACUACUGGGUGUGAUAUAUCUCAGUUUAUCUAGGAUGGCUAGGCUUAAGCUAUUUCAUUAUCGAAUCCAAGUUAGAUUUUUGUCACACCAGGUAUUGGAUACUGUUGGCUUCGCGUAACUUAUCAUUGUUUAUCUCUAAGUUGAUUCUUUUAGGUAGUGCGCCUUUUUGCUGUACGCCUUUUGAAUUUUCCAAAAAAAAGAUAAAAAGCAUCUAUGCUAAUACUUUCGUUGUUAAAUUGGCAACAUAAGAGCAUUUCCAAGCAGACAAACAUGAAUAUUUUGGCGUAAGAGAAAUGCUUCUAUAAAAUAUUUUACGCCAACAAAAGUUUACACCAAAAAAUAGGGACUUUACGCAGCCAGACCGAUAACGGUAACGAUAACCUUAGUGCGUCAUCGCCCUAUUGUUUUUGGAGGGACGCCUACGCUUUUGCAUAUUUGGCAUUUUUUUGCGGGGAGGCCUCUUCCGUUCCCGUCCUGCCCUAUUGUUCCUACAACCUUAGUUCACCCUGGUUAGCGUUCUGGCAAAACGUUAGAAAAUUUGUCUAGUCAUUUUACGUUUGUUCAAUUUUUCUCCAACUUUUCGUUAAAAAUGGCGUCUAUAUCAGCUGCUGUCAAGACACAAAGCAAAAGAUUCAAAUGGUCGAAGGAGCAUGACAUUUUGAUGUUGCGAGAUGUAAACGCUUCUGAAAUUUGGAUGACAAAGCCAGGGAGUAUGGAAAGAGGAGAUGGUUGGAAGCAAAUAGCUGACAGGCUGAAUAAGAUUGAGUCUCCCAACUUUGAAUGCACAGCACGGUCGGUUAGGGAGAAUUUUCAGACCUUAAUAGAGAAAAGAAAGGUGGUAAACCGGGAAGAAGAGCGAGCUAGCGGUAUUUCGCCAGAAAUAACAGAAGUUGACAUUUUGCUAGAUGAGCUUCUUGAAGUGUUUUCGUCAGCUGCAUUUGAUCAACAGGCAGCAGAGAAGGAAAAGGUAGAUAAGAGAGUAGAAGAUGUGGAGAAGGCAAAAGAACUACGACAGCAGUCAUUGGAAACAUUGGGGGAGACCCGUAAAAGAAGAAAAGAGGAAGCAGGAGAUGGCAAACAAAAAAAGUUAGAAACACGAAGUCGAUUGGCAAUGACACCUUUGCAUUUCUAGAGAAAAAAAUGCGAGAGGAUGCAGAGAUAAAAAGAGAGGAGCUAGAAUUGAAAAAAAGAGAUCGAGGAAAAUGCAAGGCAAAGGGAGUCAAUUAUAGAGGAGCAGAGAGGGAGGGAUGGGGAGGGCUUGGGUGGGAGAAAUUUGGAAAGGAGGUUGGAUUUGAUUGAGCAGCAUUUGCAGCAGCAAAAUCAGAUUAUGUUGCAGAUGCUGCAAAAUCAACAACAUCAUAGUCAAAUGCUAACAGACAUUUUGAGAAGGCUUGAGAAAAAUUAUUAGACAAAUGAUUACUACUGUAAAUUCUACGCGCUAAACUAAAAGCCAUUUUGCUGCUAAAUAUACAAAUUAAAC